ACACAAACUCGAUCACUAACUCUGCUUGAUGUUGCAUAAAUGAGGGGAACCGGGGUUAUUAGAGUAAAUGCUAUGAGAGAAAUGUAUUGACUUCAGAUCCUACUGAGGUUUUCUAUUCUAUCCUAGUACCAGG